rnacentral:rRNA from 1 species
UACGUAGGGGGCAAGCGUUGUCCGGAUUUAUUGGGCGUAAAGAGCGUGUAGGCGGCCAAGCAGGUCCGCUGUGAAAACUCGAGGCUCAACCUCGAGACGUCGGUGGAAACCGUUUGGCUAGACGUCCGGAAGAGGAGAGUGGAAUUCCCGGUGUAGCGGUGAAAUGCGCAGAUAUCAGGAGGAACACCGGUGGCGAAGGCGGGUCUCUGGGCCGAUACUGACGCUGGAGGAGCGAAAGCCGUUGGGGAGCGAACAGG